rnacentral:rRNA from 1 species
GACGAACGCUGGCGGCGUGCUUAACACAUGCAAGUCGAACGGAAAGGCCCCUUUGGGGGUCCUCGAGUGGCGAACGGGGGCGUAACACGUGAGUAACCUUCCCUUGACUUCGGGAUAACUUCAGGAAACUGGGGCUAAUACCGGAUAGGAAUCCUUUCUGCAUGGGGGUGGUUGGAAAGCUUCGGCGGGUUUUGAUGGACUCUCUGCUUAUCGGCUUGUUGGGGUGGUAGUGGGUUACCAAGGCGUUGACGGGUAGCCGCCCUGAGAGGGCGACCGGCCACACUGGGACCGAGAGACGGCCCAGGCUCCUACGGUAGGCAGAAGUGGGGAAGAUUGCACAAUGGGCGGAGGCCUGAUGCAGAAAGGCCGCGUGCGGGAUGACGGUCUUAGGGUUGAAAACCGAUUUCAGCAGGGGCGAAGCUUGUGGUGACGGUACCUGCAGAAGAAGCACCGGCUAACUACGUG